AUUUUCUUAAACUAAAUUCGCUCCUUCUCUUAAUAACUAACAAAUGUAAUUUAUGUAUAUCCUCCUUCUCUUUAUUUGCAUAACAAAUUCUAGUAAAGCAAAAUUAAACAGCAUCUUUCCUUACAUACAGGCGCAAAUAAAAAACAAAUCGUUAUUGAAUAUGCAACAAAAAGCAGCACUCUCACCGGAGAGCUAUGUAUUUGCCUUGCAUUGAGUGGGCGCCGUUACCUGCGCUGUGUACGCAUAAACCAGCUUCAUUGUGAAAAACGACACUUCAAUAUCGGACAGCAAUAGCAAUUAAGUAAUUUAGAGGUAAAUAAAAACUUAAAAUAGUGAAAAAAUCUUAAUUAAAAGUGUAAGAACCCAUGUUAUAAGAAAAUAAAGUGCGAAUUAGUGAAAAGUGAUAAAAUGUGAAAAAAUGUGUGCUGCAAAAGUGGAAAAUAUAAUGAUGAACAAGGAGAUGAUCAAAUUGUUGGAAGAGUAAAAUUUAUUAUGCACUUAGUAUAUAUGUAUGUUUAGUGCAAUGAGAAGUGGGAAAAAUAAUUUCUAGAAAAGCAAUUAUAAAAAUAAAUUACGAAUAUGUGAAGAAGUAAUAGUGCGCAAUAUUAUGUGUUUUAAUCACAAGCAAUUCGAGCUUUUUAAUGAAAGGUUUAUACAUAUGCAAAAACAAUGCAGUUUGCCUGCAAGAACAAAAAUUGUUAACACAUAUGGUAACUCGCAGGCUUUGACGCUGAUUGACUCCAUCUACACAUUCGUGGCACAGUAUAAAGUCGAAUAUACCGUAAUGUUGACAAACAAGAGCACCAUUAAUUUUACUAAAAUUGGAUGUCAUUGGCGAGGAAACACAAUCUUGAAAGUGAUUUGGACAAGCUUUCCACACAUGCGCUCACAAGGUUCGAUUAUACACUUAAAACACACUUUCCGGCUUUGACAGAUAAGAAGCUUCGUUCGACGUAUCGCCAUCUCAUGCCCGGAACCACUAUCUCUUCACGCUCACUCAACGCUGGUUGCCGACAAAUAUUACACGCAAUCAAAGCGCAUAUGGAGAAGCUGUGCGUCAUUAUUCAUUACAAAUGAAAAAGUCUAUAUAUAAUUGUAUUUAAUACUUUUUUCUUAAAUAAAAAAUAAAGGGUAAAAAAAGAUAAUGAAAACAGUCGAAAGACACUCAAGAAUAUACUAAACAUAAUAAGAAAAAUUAACUCUUACUGUAGAAAUCAUGUAUUUUUUUAGGAAAUUCCAAUAUUUGGAUAUUAGUCAAAUAAAGAUUAUUAAAUAAAAAAAUUUAUAUUUUUAUUUUCUUUUAUUUUAUUUACGUAGAAUCAUUACUUUCUUCUAAUUUACCAAAAGUCCUCGCAAAUCUCAUUAAUUUGACACCAAAAUCAUCAAAAUCGGUUAAAGUUUGCCGAAACUAUGAAAAAAGCGCAUUUUUCUUUCUUUCUUCCAAAUUUCCAAAACUCGAAUUCAGUCCCGUCAAUUUGACACCUAAAUCAUUAAAAUCGGUUAAGAAUUGCCAAAAUUACGAAAAAAUCGCCAUUUUCUUCAUAUUUUCCCAAUUUUCCAAAACUCUUCUCAAAUUACUUUAAUUUGACACCAAAAUCAAUAAAAUCAGGUAAGAAUUGCCGAAA